rnacentral:rRNA from 1 species
GAACGCUAGCUACAGGCUUAACACAUGCAAGUCGAGGGGCAGCAUGGUCUUAGCUUGCUAAGGCCGAUGGCGACCGGCGCACGGGUGAGUAACACGUAUCCAACCUGCCGUCUACUCUUGGACAGCCUUCUGAAAGGAAGAUUAAUACAAGAUGGCAUCAUGAGUCCGCAUGUUCACAUGAUUAAAGGUAUUCCGGUAGACGAUGGGGAUGCGUUCCAUUAGAUAGUAGGCGGGGUAACGGCCCACCUAGUCUUCGAUGGAUAGGGGUUCUGAGAGGAAGGUCCCCCACAUUGGAACUGAGACACGGUCCAAACUCCUACGGGAGGCAGCAGUGAGGAAUAUUGGUCAAUGGGCGAGAGCCUGAACCAGCCAAGUAGCGUGAAGGAUGACUGCCCUAUGGGUUGUAAACUUCUUUUAUAAAGGAAUAAAGUCGGGUAUGGAUACCCGUUUGCAUGUACUUUAUGAAUAAGGAUCGGCUAACUCCGUGCCAGCAGCCGCGGUAAUACGGAGGAUCCGAGCGUUAUCCGGAUUUAUUGGGUUUAAAGGGAUCGUAGAUGGAUGUUUAAGUCAGUUGUGAAAGUUUGCGGCUCAACCGUAAAAAUUGCAGUUGAUACUGGAUAUCUUGAGUUGCAGUUGAGGCAGGCGGAAUUCGUGGUGUAGCGGUGAAAUGCUUAGAUAUCACGAAGAACUCCGAUUGCGAAGGCAGCCUGCUAAGCUGCAACUGACAUUGAGGCUCGAAAGUGUGGGUAUCAAACAGGAUUAGAUACCCUGGUAGUCCACACGGUAAACGAUGAAUACUCGCUGUUUGCGAUAUACUGCAAGCGGCCAAGCGAAAGCGUUAAGUAUUCCACCUGGGGAGUACGCCGGCAACGGUGAAACUCAAAGGAAUUGACGGGGGCCCGCACAAGCGGAGGAACAUGCGGUUUAAUUCGAUGAUACGCGAGGAACCUUACCCGGGCUUAAAUUGCAGAUGAAUUACGGUGAAAGCCGUAAGCCGCAAGGCAUCUGUGAAGGUGCUGCAUGGUUGUCGUCAGCUCGUGCCGUGAGGUGUCGGCUUAAGUGCCAUAACGAGCGCAACCCUUGUUGUCAGUUACUAACAGGUUCCGCUGAGGACUCUGACAAGACUGCCAUCGUAAGAUGUGAGGAAGGUGGGGAUGACGUCAAAUCAGCACGGCCCUUACGUCCGGGGCUACACACGUGUUACAAUGGGGGGUACAGAGGGCCGCUACCACGCGAGUGGAUGCCAAUCCCCAAAACCUCUCUCAGUUCGGACUGGAGUCUGCAACCCGACUCCACGAAGCUGGAUUCGCUAGUAAUCGCGCAUCAGCCACGGCGCGGUGAAUACGUUCCCGGGCCUUGUACACACCGCCCGUCAAGCCAUGGGAGCCGGGGGUACCUGAAGUGCGUAACCGCGAGGAGCGCCCUAGGGUAAAACUGGUGA